rnacentral:rRNA from 1 species
GACGAACGCUGGCGGCGUGCUUAACACAUGCAAGUCGAACGAAGUGGCGAACGGGUGAGUAACGUGUAAUCACUCUGCCCUUCAGAGGGGGACAACAGUUGGAAACUACUGCUAAUACCGCAUACUGCAGUAGGUGAUUGCGUUGGUGUAGCUAGUGGGAGGGGUAACGGCCCACCAUGGCGAGGAUAAGUAGCCGGUCUGAGAGGAUGAACGGCCACAUUGGGACUGAGACACGGCCCAGACUCCUACGGGAGGCAGCAGUGGGGAAGCUUCCGCAAUGGACGAAAGUCUGACGGAGCAACGCCGCGUGAGUGAUGACGGCCUUCGGGUUGUAAAGCUCUGUUAAUCGGGACGCGGUACCGGAAUAGAAAGCAACGGCUAACUACGGGCCAGCAGCCGCGGUAAUAC